rnacentral:lncRNA from 1 species
CUAAAAUGAAGUAUUCUUUUUUAAAGAGAUGAAAUGUUGAUGUGCUUUCAAAGUUUCCUGUAAUGAAAGCUGAUUCUUAAACUUUGUGUCUAAUUUGUUUCUGCUGAUACAUAUGAGCUCCAGGCCCUUAUAUGGCCUUUAGAGUUUGCUCAGUAACACACUUCAGAAUUUACUACCAACUUAAUAGCAUUUUUAAUUUAGUGAAGCAAAAUGGUAAUGUAAUAGUGUCCCUAAAGAAAAAACAGUGUCAUUAUUUUGUGGGUGUUAAAUUCCUCUAAUGAAAUCAAUUCCAAUUUAUGCUCCUUUUGUUAUAAUAUACAACUUUCUUUAAAGUACAAAUAUUCAGCUGCCUGUAGUAAUGGCAUUGCAUGCUUCCACUGAGUGUCCCUGCUAAUGAGAUUGAUGACUGAGAACUAAAGCCAAGAUUGGAGGGGUUGUGUGUAGGCUAAGCAUAUUUGCUUUGAAUACAGAAAACACUGCCAAAGAGAUCUUCUCUUUUUGCUUUGAAGAAUGCAGGAAAACCUUCUUUUCUGCAAUGAAUGCAAAUAACAGAAAACCAGGAACUGGGGAGAGAGCUGGUAUUACUGAAAACCAAGAAAAAAUACUGUCCAUUUCUUAAUCUGGGUCCUAUGACAAGGUUGCUGACAGAAAAGGAACUACCUCCGGCUUGGGUGCCCCGGAUUCAUAGAUGGACAAAGCUUUCUCUUGUCAAGAUCUUGUCUGUUAACUCAGUUGGGUAGCAUAUUUAUCUUAGUUUCAGCUUCAAAUUCUCACUUGAACAUAUUCUGUUUCUCUACCAGAAUAUAACCCCAAUGUAAAGACUGACAGUCAAGCCCUACUACACCUCUUGGUCAGUUUCUCCAGAUAAUAAUGAAUGCCAUGCAAGUACAUAGGCCAUGUUCUAAAGGAUUCUCAGAAGGCACACCCCUUUGAAGUUAUC